rnacentral:rRNA from 1 species
UGGGGAAUUUUGGACAAUGGUCGCAAGCCUGAUCCAGCCAUGCCGCGUUCGGGAAGAAGCAUUUAUGGGGUGUAAACUGCUUUUGUACGGGAAGAAACACUCCUUCGUGAAGGAGCUUGACGGUACCGUAAGAAUAAGGAUCGGCUAACUCCGUGCCAGCAGCCGCGGCAAUACGGAGGAUCCAAGCGCUAUCCGGAAUCAUUGGGUUUAAAGGGUCCGCAGGCGGUUUAGUAAGUCAGUGGUGAAAGCCCAUCGCUCAACGAUGGAACGGCCAUUGAUGCUGCUGGACUUGAAUUAUUGGGAAGUAACUAGAAUAUGUAGUGUAGCGGUGAAAUGCUUAGAUAUUACAUGGAAUACCAAUUGCGAAGGCAGGUUACUACUGAUGGAUUGACGCUGAUGGACGAGAACGUGGGGAGCGAACA